rnacentral:tRNA from 1 species
AUCUUUCUAGUAUAAAGUUAGUACAAGUGACUUCCACUCACUUAAUCUUGGUCAAAAUCCAGGGAAAGAUA